CCUACGGGGGGCAGCAGUGGGGAAUAUUGCACAAUGGGGGCAACCCUGAUGCAGCGACGCCGCGUGAGUGAAGAAGUAAUUCGUUAUGUAAAGCUCUUUCAGCAGGGAAGAAAAUGACGGUACCUGAGUCAGAAGCCCCGGCUAACUACGUGCCAGCAGCCGCGGUAAUACGUAGGGGGCAAGCGUUAUCCGGAUUUACUGGGUGUAAAGGGAGCGUAGACGGCAGUGCAAGUCUGGAGUGAAAGGCGGGGGCUCAACCCCCGGACUGCUCUGGAAACUGUACGGCUGGAGUGCAGGAGAGGUAAGUGGAAUUCCUAGUGUAGCGGUGAAAUGCGUAGAUAUUAGGAGGAACACCAGUGGCGAAGGCGGCUUACUGGACUGUAACUGACGUUGAGGCUCGAAAGCGUGGGGAGCAAACAGGAUUAGAUACCCUUGUAGUC
rnacentral:rRNA from 1 species